rnacentral:rRNA from 1 species
AUUGAACGCUGGCGGAAUGCUUUACACAUGCAAGUCGAACGGCAGCACGGACUUCGGUCUGGUGGCGAGUGGCGAACGGGUGAGUAAUGUAUCGGAACGUGCCCAGUCGUGGGGGAUAACGUAGUGAAAAUUACGCUAAUACCGCAUACGAUCUAUGGAUGAAAGCGGGGGAUCGCAAGACCUCGCGCGAUUGGAGCGGCCGAUAUCAGAUUAGGUAGUUGGUGGGGUAAAGGCCCACCAGGCCAACGAUCUGUAGCUGGUCUGAGGGGACGACCAGCCACACUGGAACUGAGACACGGUCCAGACUCCUACGGGAGGCAGCAGUGGGGAAUUUUGGACAAUGGGCGAAAGCCUGAUCCAGCCAUUCCGCGUGCAGGAUGAAGGCCCUCGGGUUGUAAACUGCUUUUGUACGGAACGAAAAGGUUUCUACUAAUACUAGGAGCUCAUGACGGUACUGUAAGAAUAAGCACCGGCUAACUACGUGCCAGCAGCCGCCGUAA